rnacentral:rRNA from 1 species
CCAGACUCCUACGGGAGGCAGCAGUGGGGAAUAUUGGGCAAUGGGCGCAAGCCUGACCCAGCAACGCCGCGUGAAGGAAGAAGGCUUUCGGGUUGUAAACUUCUUUUAAGAGGGAAGAGCAGAAGACGGUACCUCUUGAAUAAGCCACGGCUAACUACGUGCCAGCAGCCGCGGUAAUACGUAGGGAGCAAGCGUUGUCCGGAAUUACUGGGCGUAAAGGGCGCGUAGGUGGGCGCUUAAGUCAGGUGUGAAAACUCCGGGCUCAACCUGGAGACUGCACUUGAAACUGGGUGUCUUGAGGGCAGGAGAGGAAAGUGGAAUUCCUAGUGUAGCGGUGAAAUGCGUAGAUAUUAGGAGGAACACCAGUGGCGAAGGCGACUAUCUGGCACAUAACUGACGCUGAGGAGCGAAAGCGUGGGUGGCAAACAGGAUUAGAUACCCGUGUA